rnacentral:rRNA from 1 species
UACAUGGGGUGCAAACGUUGCUCGGAAUUAUUGGGCGUAAAGCGCGCGUAGGCGGUUACUUAAGUCGGAUGUGAAAGCCCUCGGCUUAACUGAGGAAGUGCAUCCGAAACUGAAUAGCUAGAGUACGAAAGAGGGUCGCGGAAUUCCCGGUGUAGAGGUGAAAUUCGUAGAUAUCGGGAGGAACACCGGUGGCGAAGGCGGCGACCUGGGUCGAGACUGACGCUGAGGCGCGAAAGCGUGGGGAGCGAACAGG